rnacentral:RNase_P_RNA from 1 species
UUGGUGGAAAGAACGCCAGAGGAGCCAUAAACGGGCUUUCGUGCCCAUGUAUGCUCCUGGGAAGGUCUGAGAUCAGGUCAUUUGUGAUUCCCGAAACGGGAAGUGCUCCAAGAGCGCGUGAGGGUACCAGAAAUGUUUAUGCCCCGUAACUUAUCUCGCCCUGCGGGUGGGACGUCCAAGACGCCUGUACGGUUGAGACGUGUUGCGUUGCAUUUGAGACACCCUUUCGACUCGCAGUGCUAAGUGCGAUGGCGUUACCCCCGAGAAGGGGAAAACUCAAUUCAGACUACUAUUUCACCAA